rnacentral:rRNA from 1 species
UUCCUACGGGACGCAGCAGUGGGGGAUAUUGCACAAUGGGUGGAACCCUGAUGCAGCGACGCCGCGUGGGUUACUAAGCGCCUCGGCGCGUAAAGCCCUGUCAGCAGGGAAGAAAAUGACGGUACCUGAAGAAGAAGCCCCGGCUAACUACGUGCCAGCAGCCGCGGUAAUACGUAGGGGGCCAGCGUUAUCCGGAUUUACUGGGUGUAAAGGGGGCGCAGACGGCGAUGCAAGCCAGGAGUGAAAGCCCGGGGCCCAACCCCGGGACUGCUCUGGGAACUGCGUGGCUGGAGGGCAGGAGGGGG